rnacentral:rRNA from 1 species
UACGUAGGGUGCAAGCGUUGUCCGGAAUUAUUGGGCGUAAAAGAGCUCGUAGGCGGUCUGUCGCGUCGGCUGUGAAAACUCGGGGCUCAACCCCCGAGCCUGCAGUCGAUACGGGCAGACUAGAGUGCUGUAGGGGAGACUGGAAUUCCUGGUGUAGCGGUGAAAUGCGCAGAUAUCAGGAGGAACACCGGUGGCGAAGGCGGUUCUCUGGGCAUUACCUGACGCUGAGGAGCGAAAGUGUGGGGAGCGAACAGG